AGUCACCGUUUUCCAUUGUUUGUACUGUUGUGCCUAAUCAUGUUGUAGAUUUGGUGAAGUUGCCUAGAGGCUAGAAAAUUAGUGUUGCAGCAGGAAAUUUGACUGAAGAAGUGGUGGCUGUUCAUGAUGAAGUGAAGCAAAAACUCGAGCAAACUAAUGCUAAGUACAAAGCCGCUGCAGACAAGCAUAGGCGAAUUAAGGUGUUUCAAGAAGGCGAUUCUGUGAUGGUGUUUCUGAGGAAGGAGAGGUUCCCUGUUGGUACAUAUAGCAAGCUGAAGCCUAAGAAAUAUGGUCCUUACAAGAUGAAAACCUUUUAUCCUGAACAUAACUCGGGGUCGAGUUCUUCGGAGGUGGAGGGAACUGAUGUAGAACGAAUGGUUGAAUGGAUUGAAGAAGAAUUGGAGCAAAGAAGGGAAAAAUGACGCAUUGGGAAUUUACAGAUUUGGCAUUCGAGCUCCGAUUGGGUUGCAUAAUACCUUCUUGAAAAGGGAACAACGGCAUGAGUCCAACUCACCACUUUUUUGUGACCUGUGGUGGAUUUUGGGCUUCUGAGAUCGUUUGGCCUUCCAAAAGUGCAUUUAAAGAUUGUAUUCAAUUUACAAACUUUCUGUUUCUUUUCUGUUAA